GGUUCUAUGGUGUAAUGGUUAGCACUUCAGACUUUGACUCUGACAAUCUGAGUUCAAAUCUCAGUAGGACCU
rnacentral:tRNA from 1 species